UGCAUUGCAGUUUGUUUCCUGAAGGCUGAGAUUUUUGAAGUUGCACAGUUUGAAUUCUGGUGAGGGGCAAUAAUAAUUCCUGUAUGUUUCCCUAGAACUGACUUCUGAAAUUCUUUAUGCCCAGCCUCCUUUCACAUUCUACUCAUCAGAUUGUUAUAGACAUAUAAAGCACUAAGAUAUGAUUGUGAACCAUUCAGGGAUAAACUCUUCCUAGAAAGGGAGAAGUGUGGUGUCUACGUGUAUCCCUGCUGGUCAACUUUAAAUAUCAGUUAAAGGCCUCGGGGAAUCGAUGAUAUGAAGUGAAGACAUAUUGAUACAAAUUCCAAGCCUGCGAUUGAAGAUGGCGCAAAAAUAGCUGUGCUUAAUCCAUAGUAGACGUGCCUUGCUUCUACUGCUGGAUUUGAGCAGGAACAGAUCCAAAAUCAUGUCACUGUUCCCAUUUCUGUGCCACAGAGUAAUGACAUUUAAUCAGGAAUAUUACUACACUCUUUCAGUGACAGCUGAGACACAAAACCAGCCAGCUGAUGCAAUCCUGUCCCACCGCUGGGGGCAUAUAAACAGCCCCACAAACAAGAAAGCAGUCUUACCUCCUCUAUAGCAUCAGAGGAUUCUUUAAGGAAAUAAGGCCUGCAGACACUGAAACUGGAAUCACCUAGCCUCCUUCAGCCUUCUAGAACCAUCUAAUAGUUUCUAAGAAUCUUUCCAGCCACGGGAGGAUUAAGGAAGAGACUGUUCUAGAACCUGAGAACAAUGAGAGUGUAGUCACCAGGUGUGAGGCAACAUAAAGCCUGCAGAAUACAACUGCUACAGCUCCUGUUUGGGUAGAUCGAUGGCCUAUAAUUACCUGGGAAUUACUUGGACACAAAUCAAUGGUGUAUUACGUCCCAUUCAUAAUGAGCAUGACAUUGCAAGGUCUUCACUCAACCCUGAUCUGGACCAAGAUUGACAUCUCUGAGAUAAAAGGCUCCGGGUUCCAUUAGAUGUCAUCUGCUUGGCUGGCCUACUCCUUAGGCCACGCCCCAUGGGAUCUAGCCACGUUUUGAUGACAUCCAUCAAGUUCAGGAUUCCAGCUCAACAGUUUGCAGCAAUUUCUCUAUCUUGACUUUUACUGUUCUUCCCAAGACGGUGGCUUCUUGCUACCCAGAUUACAAGUAUGAAUCAAAGGACAAGAAUGACAAAAGGAGGGAAGCAGAAAGAUUACUCUGAAGAACUACAGGUAUCAUCGGCACUCAGGCAUCAUCAGAAAUGUCGAAUCUCAAGCAGAGAGUCCUGACACCAAUUCUAUUAACCAAAACUGGAACGUGUGUUUACUGGUCCACCUCUGAAAGAGACAACACCUCUGUAUGCAUGAUGGAAACCUUAAACAGCACAUGACACGCGCUGGUCUAUAUUCUGAGCCAUGGUGGUUUAGGCACCACUCGUUGGCAUUUCACGUCGUGACCAAUCGUUACACAUUUAGUUUUAAAUUAAUUUUCACUGAACAUUCAGAAGCUUUUACUGGUAUGAUUUUGUGUGCGUGUGUGUGUGUGUGUGUGUGUGUGUGUGUGUGUGUGACCUCUACACUCAGCCACAUGGGCCCAUCUGAGGUCCUGAACCAGUGUUAGAGACUGGGCUUCAUGCAGCACUAUUUGACUAACGUAACAGCACGGUCUUCUUCAACAAUGGGGAUGAUCACUACUGCUGUCUGUGAGCCCCUGCUUAAUGACUCUGCUCACAAAUCCCCCAUGUCCCAGGCUUCUCUUCUGAAGGACUGGACAAAGAUUCCCUCACCCACACCUUCUGGGCCAAGGCAGAGAUGGACUAAGUACCAGGACUUCCUGGGGAGCCACCCCUUCCUACAGGGCGCAUGCACUGGUUUGCUUUGCAGGCUGCUGCCUCCUGUGAAUUCACACCAUGCGCUUGAAGACAAUGGAACAUAUUAAAGGCAUCUGUUUGUGUAGCAUCUCAAAAAAAGGUAUCACGUCAGAGACUGCAGUCCAUCAUUAAAGAAUCUGUGAUGAAAA